rnacentral:lncRNA from 1 species
CCAAUAUUUUUUUUUUUUUUUUGAGAGAUAGGUAGCACGCUAACCGUUUCGUUUAUUUCAUUUAGAACUAAACUUAGCUGAAAAUAUGAAUCAACUAGGAUUCGAACUUUAGUCUCGGGCACCAACCACCAAGCCCUUUGCCUUUUGCUCUAGAGGCAGUCGGUAUCAACGAGAAUAAUAGGUGAAAAAAAUAAGCAUUGAAUAGUGAUUGAUUGCAUCAUUGCAUACAUAUUACUACUACUUUAAUAAGUGACAAGUAUCACCUAAUUCUAUAUGGCGGUUGAUUAGAAUAAUCAAUUUUUAAAUCCGAAAGAAGCUCGGCGUUACCGAUACAGACACAGAACACGAAAUACGAUUAGACUCAGAUAUAGUGACUCAACAACUUAAAAAAAAAAAGAAGAUGAGAACACGACAUUGACACUGCUAAUAAAGUAAUAUUAUUAAUAUAAUAAUAUGUAUUUGUUAUAUUUCAAAUAAUAAAUUUAUUAAGAGUUAGACUAGUAUACUAUCGGUAGCAGGGAGGUUUCCGUGCUACCAAGUUGUUUUCAAUAAUGCGGCUUUCAAAUCGAUGAUCGGCUCCGUUAGACUUGAACUACACUAUUGAAAGUAUUUGGAAACUAAAUUUCAUAAAUUUUUGGCAUUAUUUACCUAUCAAACAAGUAGUUUAAAAAUGAACAGUUGAAAAUAAAAAUCUUCUAAAAAAUGAUGAUAAAAAAUUUGAAUUUAAGAUCACAUGUAUUGAUCUUACUGUAAAUAGUGAAAAAAAUUUUCUACAAAAAUUUCAUCAGAUUUGAAUUGUUUUACACCGUUAAAUUCACAAACGCAUCAUAUCCACCAUUAAAAUUAUUAAUUUUGAAACCUUUUGAUCACUCGCUAAAUGAUGUCGGAAACUUAUGAAAUUUAAUUUUCAAAUACUUUUAAUAAUGUAGAUCAAGUCUAACAGAGCCGAUCAUCGAUUUAGAAGCCGCAUCAUUGAAAACAACUCGGUAACACGGAGGCCUCCAUGCUACCGAUAGUAUACCAGCCUAACUCUUUUAUUAAACUAUUAUUAUAUUUCUUAUAUGAAUGAAAGUUAAUAAAAUUUUUAUUAGUAAUUUAUAUAUUUUGAAGGAAAGAAAUUUUUCAUCAUACAGAAUUUAUUUAUAUUGUCCAAAAAAAUUUGUACACAUUCAUCAAAAAGCCAAAAUAUUUAUCAUUCUACAUUAUAUAUGUGUAGAAAAAUAUAAAAUAAUAUAUAUAGUAGAACUUACAUGCUAUUAGGAGCACAAAGGCCUCUAUAUUCUUAUAGCCGUUUUUUAUGAUGGAAUUUUCGAAUCGACGAUCGGUUCCGUUAGACUUGAUGUAGCGUAUUUGAAGUAUUUAGAAAUUAAUUUUUUCGGAUUUUGGAUAUCAUUUACCAAGUAAUUGAAAUGAUUCAAAAUCAAUAAUUUUUAAUAGUUGUUGUGUGCCGUUUGUAAGUUUAACGGUGUAGAAAUAUUCAAAUCAGAUGAAAUUUUAAUAGAAAAUUCUUUAUAUUAUCUACAAUAAGAUCAAUAUCUCUAAUCGAAAAUUUUAAUAGUACAUCAUAACAUUUUGUGAGAUUUUUAUUUUUAAUCGUUGAUUUUUGGUCCUUUCGAUCACUAGAUAAAUAAAAUCGAAAAAUCGUAAAAUUUAUUUUCUAUAUAGUUUAAAUAUGCUAAAUCAAAUCUAACAGAGUCGAUCCUCAAUUCGAAAGUUUCAUCAUCGAAAAUAAUUUAGGAGCACGAAUCUCUGUCCUCCUAAUAGCACACAAGUUCUAUUCUCUCUCUCUCUCUCUCUCUCUCUCUCUCU